UUCACAAGUCACAUGAAACAAAAUUGUCAUUCAUCUCGAACAGUCAACAUCUUCACAUGAAAAUGCCAUUAUAAGGACUUUUCCAAGGCUUGUAAUGAGGUUGGGCUAACAAGAAAGAAUUGGUUUUUCUAGAAUGCAAAAUCCUUGAGUCAAGAGAGCUAUUAAAAUAUUCAACAAUUAAGCACAACUCUCAUCCUUACCAAUCUCUCUCAUUCCCAACUUUUCCCUUUUCUUUUUCUUUUGCAUUAAGCUGUUCUUCAUGCUUUUCUUCUUUUCUUUUCUUUUUCUCAUGAAUUUUUCUUUUCACAACAUUUGAGCUCAAUGCUUUUCACUUGCUUUUUCAACUUUCCCCUAACAACCCCAAACUUGAACCUUUUUAUCACAUACAAUUAAGCUCAUCCCAACUCAAGGUAAAGAAUUUCAAAACA
rnacentral:lncRNA from 1 species